GACAGAGGAUGCAAGCGUUAUCCGGAAUGAUUGGGCGUAAAGCGUCUGUAGGUGGCUUUUAAGUCCGCCGUCAAAUCCCAGGGCUCAACCCUGGACAGGCGGUGGAAACUACCAAGCUGGAGUACGGUAGGGGCAGAGGGAAUUUCCGGUGGAGCGGUGAAAUGCGUAGAUAUCAAGAGGAACACCUGAGGUGAAGACGGGUUGCUGGGCCAACACUGACGCUGAUGCGCGAAAGCCAGGGGAGCAAACGGG
rnacentral:rRNA from 1 species